ACUCCUACGGGAGGCAGCAGUGGGGAAUAUUGCACAAUGGGGGAAACCCUGAUGCAGCCAUGCCGCGUGUGUGAAGAAGGCCUUCGGUUGUAAAGCACUUUCUAGUAGGGAGGAAGGUAGUGUAGUUAACACCUCCAUUAUUGUACGUUACCUACAGAAGAAGACACCGGCUAACUCCGUGCCAGCAGCCGCGGUAAGUACGGAGGGUGCGAGCGUUAAUCGGUAAUUACUGGGCGUAAAGACGCAUGCAGGCGGCCUGUUAAGUCAGAUGUGAAAGCCCGGGGCUUAACCUCGGAAUUGCAUUUGAAACUGGCAGGCUAGAGUCUGUAGAGGGGGUUAGAAUUUCAGGUGUAGCGGUGAAAUGCGUAGAGAUCUGAAGGAAUACCAGUGGCGAA
rnacentral:rRNA from 1 species